rnacentral:hammerhead_ribozyme from 1 species
AUCCAGAUGACGAGCCCCAAAUAAGAGGAAAUACGUGUUCUGGAU